UGGGGAAUCUUGCACAAUGGGCGGAAGCCUGAUGCAGCGACGCCGCGUGGGGGAUGACGGCCUUCGGGUUGUAAACUCCUUUCGCCAGGGACGAAGCCGUGAGGUGACGGUACCUGGAUAAGAAGCACCGGCUAACUACGUGCCAGCAGCCGCGGUAAUACGUAGGGUGCGAUCGUUGUCCGGAAUUACUGUGCGUGAAGAGCUAGUAGGUGGUUUGUCGCGUCGUCUGUGAAAUUCCGGGGCUUAACUCCGGGCGUGCAGUCGAUACGUGCAUAACUUGAGUGCUGUAGGGGAGACUGGAAUUCCUGGUGUAGCGGUGAAAUGCGCAGAUAUCAGGAGGAACACCGAUGGCGAAGGCAGGUCUCUGGGCAGUAACUGACGCUGAGGAGCGAAAGCAUGGGUAGCGAACAGG
rnacentral:rRNA from 1 species